UACAGAGGUCUCAAGCGUUGUUCGGAUUCAUUGGGCGUAAAGGGUGCGUAGGUGGUGAUGCAAGUCUGGUGUGAAAUCUCGGAGCUCAACUCCGAAAUUGCACCGGAUACUGCGUGACUCGAGGACUGUAGAGGAGAUCGGAAUUCACGGUGUAGCAGUGAAAUGCGUAGAUAUCGAGAGGAACACCUGCGGCGAAGGCGGGUUGCUGGGCCGACACUGACGCUGAUGCGCGAAAGCCAGGGGAGCGAACGGG
rnacentral:rRNA from 1 species